UAGGGAAUCUUCCACAAUGGACGCAAGUCUGAUGGAGCAACGCCGCGUGAGUGAAGAAGGUUUUCGGACCGUAAAGCUCUGUUGUUGGUGAAGAAGGAUAGAGGUAGUAACUGGCCUUUAUUUGACGGUAAUCAACCAGAAAGUCACGGCUAACUACGUGCCAGCAGCCGCGGUAAUACGUAGGUGGCAAGCGUUGUCCGGAUUUAUUGGGCGUAAAGCGAGCGCAGGCGGAAGAAUAAGUCUGAUGUGAAAGCCCUCGGCUUAACCGAGGAAUUGCAUCGGAAACUGUUUUCUUGAGUGCAGAAGAGGAGAGUAGAACUCCAUGUGUAGCGGUGGAAUGCGUAGAUAUAUGGAAGAAUACCAGUGGCGAAGGCGGCUCUCUGGUCUGCAACUGACGCUGAGGCUCGAAAGCAUGGGUAGCGAACAGGAUUAGAUACCCUGGUAGUCCAUGCCGUAAACGAUGAGUGCUAAGUGUUGGGAGGCUUCCGCCUCUCAGUGCUGCAGCUAACGCAUUAAGCACUCCGCCUGGGGGAGUACGACCGCAAGGUUGA
rnacentral:rRNA from 1 species